GAGCGGGGAGAUGUAGCUUGCUACAUAACCUAGCGGCGGACGGGUGAGUAAUGCUUAGGAAUCUGCCUAUUAGUGGGGGACAACGUUUCGAAAGGAACGCUAAUACCGCAUACGCCCUACGGGGGAAAGCAGGGGAUCUUCGGACCUUGCGCUAAUAGAUGAGCCUAAGCCAGAUUAGCUAGUUGGUGGGGUAAAGGCCUACCAAGGCGACGAUCUGUAGCGGGUCUGAGAGGAUGAUCCGCCACACUGGGACUGAGACACGGCCCAGACUCCUACGGGAGGCAGCAGUGGGGAAUAUUGGACAAUGGGGGGAACCCUGAUCCAGCCAUGCCGCGUGUGUGAAGAAGGCCUUUUGGUUGUAAAGCACUUUAAGCGGGGAGGAGGCUCUUCUAGUUAAUACCUAGGAUGAGUGGACGUUACCCGCAGAAUAAGCACCGGCUAACUCUGUGCCAGCAGCCGCGGUAAUACAGAGGGUGCGAGCGUUAAUCGGAUUUACUGGGCGUAAAGCGUACGUAGGCGGCUUUUUAAGUCGGAUGUGAAAUCCCUGAGCUUAACUUAGGAAUUGCAUUCGAUACUGGGAAGCUAGAGUAUGGGAGAGGAUGGUAGAAUUCCAGGUGUAGCGGUGAAAUGCGUAGAGAUCUGGAGGAAUACCGAUGGCGAAGGCAGCCAUCUGGCCUAAUACUGACGCUGAGGUACGAAAGCAUGGGGAGCAAACAGGAUUAGAUACCCUGGUAGUCCAUGCCGUAAACGAUGUCUACUAGCCGUUGGGGCCUUUGAGGCUUUAGUGGCGCAGCUAACGCGAUAAGUAGACCGCGUGGGGAGUACGGUCGCAAGACUAAAACUCAAAUGAAUUGACGGGGGCCCGCACAAGCGGUGGAGCAUGUGGUUUAAUUCGAUGCAACGCGAAGAACCUUACCUGGCCUUGACAUAGUAAGAACUUUCCAGAGAUGGAUUGGUGCCUUGGGGAACUUACAUACAGGUGCUUUAAUGGCUGUUCCCAGCUCGUGUCGUGAGAUGUUGGGUUAAGUCCCGCAACGAGCGCAACCCUUUUCCUUAUUUGCCAGCGGGUUAAGCCGGGAACUUUAAGGAUACUGCCAGUGACAAACUGGAGGAAGGCGGGGACGACGUCAAGUCAUCAUGGCCCUUACGGCCAGGGCUACACACGUGCUACAAUGGUCGGUACAAAGGGUUGCUACCUAGCGAUAGGAUGCUAAUCUCAAAAAGCCGAUCGUAGUCCGGAUUGGAGUCUGCAACUCGACUCCAUGAAGUCGGAAUCGCUAGUAAUCGCGGAUCAGAAUGCCGCGGUGAAUACGUUCCCGGGCCUUGUACACACCGCCCGUCACACCAUGGGAGUUUGUUGCACCAGAAGUAGGUAGUCUAACCGCAAGGA
rnacentral:rRNA from 1 species